rnacentral:tRNA from 1 species
GGGUGUGCAUUAUAAAGCGCUUUGCAAAUGCGCUUGUGGCUUGUCUUUUGCCCGCACCCU